rnacentral:rRNA from 1 species
AUUGAACGCUGGCGGCAUGCUUUACACAUGCAAGUCGAACGGUAACAGGCCUUCGGGUGCUGACGAGUGGCGAACGGGUGAGUAAUGCAUCGGAACGUACCCAGAGGUGGGGGAUAACGCAGCGAAAGCUGUGCUAAUACCGCAUGUGAUCUGAGGAUGAAAGCGGGGGACCGAGCAGCAAUGUUUGGCCUCGCGCCUUUGGAGCGGCCGAUGUCGGAUUAGCUAGUUGGUGGGAUAAAGGCCUACCAAGGCGACGAUCCGUAGCUGGUCUGAGAGGACGACCAGCCACACUGGGACUGAGACACGGCCCAGACUCCUACGGGAGGCAGCAGUGGGGAAUUUUGGACAAUGGGCGCAAGCCUGAUCCAGCAAUGCCGCGUGCGGGAAGAAGGCCUUCGGGUUGUAAACCGCUUUUGGCAGGAACGAAACGGUGCCCGCUAAUACCGGGCGCUAAUGACGGUACCUGCAGAAUAAGCACCGGCUAACUACGUG